AUGAACACAAACGAGACAUUUUCACCUCCCAAAUCUCUUAUAAAUCUUAGAAUCAAUGGAUGGAUAAGGGGGCUACCAAGCUGGAUCAAAGAGCUACAUAAACUUUCGAAGAUAACUCUCUGUGGUACAUACUUGACGGACACUGAUAUACAGCUGCUAGGUGAACUUGGCAAUUUGCGCCUUCUCAUGCUCCGGCCCAAGUCAUAUAAGGACAAGAAGCUUACUUUGAGGAGUAACAAAUUCAAAAGACUUCAGCUUCUUGUCAUAGAGGACUCAGACAUCUCCAACAUUCAUUUUGAACAUAAUGGAGCUUCUAAUCUUGAGAAGAUAGUUUGGACUUCCAAUAGCAUGGAAAACCUACAUGGAAUUGAACAACUUCUGAGCCUGAAAGAGAUUGAGCUGAACAGUAACUGUGACCUGAGUAGCAUCAUACAUGCCACAAAAGAAAAUCCAAAUCACCCUAUCCUUACGCAGAAUCCAAUACCCAAGGCCACUGAGGCUACUGAUGCAAGCAACAUUCCUCGUCGUCAGUAG
rnacentral:rRNA from 1 species